rnacentral:tRNA from 5 species
GGAGCGGUAGUUCAGUUGGUUAGAACGCCUGCCUGUCACGCAGGAGGUCGCGGGUUCGAGUCCCGUCCGUUCCGCCA